UUAAAUUGAAGAGUUUGAUCAUGGCUCAGAUUGAACGCUGGCGGCAGGCCUAACACAUGCAAGUCGAACGGUAGCACAGAGAGCUUGCUCUCGGGUGACGAGUGGCGGACGGGUGAGUAAUGUCUGGGAAACUGCCUG
rnacentral:rRNA from 1 species